AGGACGAACGCUGGCGGCGUGCCUAAUACAUGCAAGUCGAGCGGACGAAUCAAAAGCUUGCUUUUGAUUCGUUAGCGGCGGACGGGUGAGUAACACGUGGGCAACCUGCCCUGUAGACGGGGAUAACACCGAGAAAUCGGUGCUAAUACCGGAUAACACGAAAUGUCGCAUGACGUUUCGUUGAAAGACGGCGCAAGCUGUCGCUACAGGGUGGGCCCGCGGCGCAUUAGCUAGUUGGUGAGGUAACGGCUCACCAAGGCGACGAUGCGUAGCCGACCUGAGAGGGUGAUCGGCCACACUGGGACUGAGACACGGCCCAGACUCCUACGGGAGGCAGCAGUAGGAAUCUCCGCAAUGGACGAAAGUCUGACGGAGCAACGCCGCGUGAGCGAAGAAGGCGUUUCGGUCGUAAAGCUCGUGUUGUUAGGGAGAACGAAGUAACGCAGUAACUGGACGUUACGUGACGGUACCUAACGAAGAAGCCACGCUAACUACGU
rnacentral:rRNA from 1 species